rnacentral:rRNA from 1 species
UGCAAGUCGUACGCUUCUUUUUCCACCGGAGCUUGCUCCACCGGAAAAAGAGGAGUGGCGAACGGGUGAGUAACACGUGGGUAACCUGCCCAUCAGAAGGGGAUAACACUUGGAAACAGGUGCUAAUACCGUAUAACAAUCGAAACCGCAUGGUUUUGAUUUGAAAGGCGCUUUCGGGUGUCGCUGAUGGAUGGACCCGCGGUGCAUUAGCUAGUUGGUGAGGUAACGGCUCACCAAGGCCACGAUGCAUAGCCGACCUGAGAGGGUGAUCGGCCACAUUGGGACUGAGACACGGCCCAAACUCCUACGGGAGGCAGCAGUAGGGAAUCUUCGGCAAUGGACGAAAGUCUGACCGAGCAACGCCGCGUGAGUGAAGAAGGUUUUCGGAUCGUAAAACUCUGUUGUUAGAGAAGAACAAGGAUGAGAGUAACUGUUCAUCCCUUGACGGUAUCUAACCAGAAAGCCACGGCUAACUACGUGCCAGCAGCCGCGGUAAUACGUAAGUGGCAAGCGUUGUCCGGAUUUAUUGGGCGUAAAGCGAGCGCAGGCGGUUUCUUAAGUCUGAUGUGGAAGCCCCCCGGCUC